rnacentral:rRNA from 1 species
UACGAAGGGGGCUAGCGUUGCUCGGAAUCACUGGGCGUAAAGCGCACGUAGGCGGACUCUUAAGUCGGUGGUGAAAUCCUGGAGCUCAACUCCAGAACUGCCUUCGAUACUGAGAGUCUCGAGUCCGGGAGAGGUGAGUGGAACUGCGAGUGUAGAGGUGAAAUUCGUAGAUAUUCGCAAGAACACCAGUGGCGAAGGCGGCUCACUGGCCCGGUACUGACGCUGAGGUGCGAAAGCGUGGGGAGCAAACAGGAUAGAAACC